CGCACAAGCGGUGGAUGAUGUGGAUCAAAUUCGAUACAACCGCGAAAACCUUACCUACCCUUGACAUGCUCUGGAAUCCCGAAGAGAUUUGGGAGUGCUCGCAAGAGAACCGGAACACAGGUGCUGCUGUGGCUGUCGUCAGCUCGUGUCGUGAGAUGUUGGGUUAAGUCCCGCAACGAGCGCAACCCUUGUCAUUAGUUGCUACGAAGGGCACUCUAAUGAGACUGCCGGUGACAAACCAGAGAAGGUGGGGAUGACGUCAAGUCCUCAUGGCCCUUAUGGGUAGGGCUUCACACGUCAUACAAUGGUCGGGACAGAGGGUCGCCAACCCGCCGGGGAGCCAAUCCCAGAGAGCCCGAUCGUAGUCCGGAUCGCAGUCUGCAACUCGACUGCGUGAAGUCGAGAUCGCUGGCCGUCGCGGAUCAGCAUGUCGCGGUGAAUACGUUCCCGGGUCUUGUACACACCGCCCGUCACACCAUGGGAGUGGGUUUACCAGAAGUGGAUUAGCUGGCGCCGUAAGGGAGGGCGAUUACCACGGUGCAGUUCAUGACUGGGGUGAAGUCGUAACAAGGUAA
rnacentral:misc_RNA from 1 species